rnacentral:rRNA from 1 species
GCUCCAAUAGCGUUCACUAGAGUUGUUGCGGUUAAAAAGCUCGUAGUUGGACUUCUACUUUGUCUAGUCUUUCCACCUACGGGUGUGAGAUGAUCAUGACUUAGUAUUUGUGCGAGAAGUUUCGGCUGCUCGUACCUUUACCUGAGUAAAUCAGCGUGUUUACAGCAGGCCUUCGCCUUGAAUGUUGUAGCAUGGGAUAA